rnacentral:misc_RNA from 1 species
UACCGGAAGUUGAUCGAUGGAUGCCUAGAUCCGGAACCGAGGAAUUUUAACAGUGGAAACAGAUGAGAGAUUCGUGAUUUGGAGAGAUAGUUUGAGAUUAUUUCAAAGAAAUGACGACCGUUUUAGCUACGUUCUCGGUCCUCAAGGACCAUGUCAAGUGGAAGGUUUCGCAGGAUUCUGUGGCCAUUGAUAACUUGGUUUUUAAGAUGCACUAUAGAUUCACGUUUCUGAUGCUCUUGAUCGCUACGCUAUUGGUAACAGCUAGACAAUUUAUCGGAGAGCAUAUCAGGUGUAUCGCUGGGCAUGGAAUGAGCGAUGAUAUAGUGAAAGUAAUCAACACUUUCUGCUUUUUCACGUCUACUUACACUGUGACAAAACAUUUGAACAAAACAUCGGUGGAAUUAGGUGUAAUCGCACAUCCUGGCGUCGGACCAGCAACUUCAGAAGACUCCGUGGUACAUCAUGCCUACUACCAGUGGGUGCCCUUCGUUCUGUUUUUUCAGGCGAUCUUCUUUUACGCGCCUCACUACCUGUGGAGGAAUGUUGAAGGAGGCCGUUUAAAAGCGUUGGUUACUGGAUUGCAUACAGCGUCAAUGGCUCUUCGUGAGACAUCUCUGAAGACCGAGAAUGGUAUAAGCAUCAUGUCGAAGGACGAAUGCGACGACAAAAUACGUCAAAUUCGCCAUGCUUUUCUGAAUCGUAUUCAUUUGAAUCGACCAUGGGCGUAUUAUUUGGGCCUAUGCGAGGUUCUCAAUUUCAUCAACGUUCUUUUGCAAAUAUAUCUGACCGACUGGUUUCUCGGAGGUGCUUUUCUCGGUCUUGGACAAAUGUUGGCACAUUAUGGAUCCGAAGAAGGUCAAGUCGAACCUCUCGAUAUCGUGUUUCCUAAGGUAACUAAAUGUAUCUUUCACAAAUACGGUCCAUCAGGAACUAUACAAAACCACGAUGCUCUGUGCAUCAUGGCAUUGAACAUCAUUAACGAGAAGAUCUAUGUGUUCCUUUGGUAUUGGUACAUCAUUCUCUCUGUGAUAACCGGUUUAGGAUUGCUCUGGAGGUUACUUACUAUGGCGUUGCAUGCCAGGAGUGAACUAUUCAACAAGUUAGUGUUCUCCAUGGCUUGUCCUGGGAAAUAUAAUCCGUGGAACGUGCUGGCCGUUACUCAUGAGUGCCACUAUGGGGAUUGGGUAUUUCUUUAUUAUAUAGCGAAGAACUUGGAUAACUAUAUAUUCAGAGAACUGUUGGUGAAACUUGCCGGUGAUCUGGAAGAAAGACGUCAAACUAUAUACAAUAUGUCUAACGAAGAGAAACCGUUAAACGAUAAAGAGAAUUAAUUAUAACUCGUCUACGCAUAAUGAACGUCCAGAGACUUGGAGACCACGUGUGCAUGGAUAAUGAGGUUAACGUGCACUCAUCGAGUAAGGUAUUUACACAUCGGACCGACUCGGAUUCAACGUGACCAAGUGUGCCCUUACAAGUCCCAGCCUUUUCCUUCUUUCUAUCUACGAACAUGGAUUCUAUUCAACGUAUCCUUGGUUACUAGUAAUUUUCACUCGCUAUUUAGAUAACAAUUUUAUAAUUGUUCAAUUUACAAUUGCUAACAUUAUCGUUGUAUCAUUAUACAUUAAUGGAAAAGAGAAGGAAUGAAUGAAUUCUAUUCUAGUUCGAAGAACAAAGAAAUACAA